UAGGGAAUCUUCCACAAUGGACGCAAGUCUGAUGGAGCAACGCCGCGUGAGUGAAGAAGGUUUUCGGAUCGUAAAGCUCUGUUGUUGGUGAAGAAGGAUAGAGGCAGUAACUGGUCUUUAUUUGACGGUAAUCAACCAGAAAGUCACGGCUGACUACGUGCCAGCAGCCGCGGUAAUACGUAGGUGGCAAGCGUUGUCCGGAUUUAUUGGGCGUAAAGCGAGCGCAGGCGGAAUGAUAAGUCUGAUGUGAAAGCCCACGGCUCAACCGUGGAACUGCAUCGGAAACUGUCAUUCUUGAGUGCAGAAGAGGAGAGUGGAAUUCCAUGUGUAGCGGUGGAAUGCGUAGAUAUAUGGAAGAACACCAGUGGCGAAGGCGGCUCUCUGGUCUGCAACUGACGCUGAGGCUCGAAAGCAUGGGUAGCGAACAGG
rnacentral:rRNA from 1 species